AAUAUUGGACAAUGGGCGAAAGCCUGAUCCAGCCAUGCCGCGUGUGUGAAGAAGGUCUUCGGCUUGUAAAGCACUUUAAGUUGGGAGGAAGGGGUUGAAGCUACUACCUUCAUUCUUUGACGUUACCAACUGAAUAAGCACCGGCUAAUCCUGUUCCAGCAGCCGCGGUAAUACAGAGGGUGCAAGCGUUAAUCGGAAUUACUGGGCGUAAAGCGCGCGUAGGUGGUUCAGUAAGAUGGAAGUGAAAUCCCCGGGCUUAACCUGGGAACUGCUUUCAUAACUGCUGAGCUAGAGUACGGUAGAGGGUAGUGGAAUUUCCUGUGUAGCGGUGAAAUGCGUAGAUAUAGGAAGGAACACCAGUGGCGAAGGCGACUACCUGGACUGAUACUGACACUGAGGUGCGAAAGCGUGGGUAGCGAACA
rnacentral:rRNA from 1 species